rnacentral:rRNA from 1 species
UACGGGGGGGGCAAGCGUUGUUCGGAAUUACUGGGCGUAAAGGGCGCGUAGGCGGCUCAAUCAGUCGGGCGUGAAAGCUCUGGGCUUAACCCAGAAAGGUCGUUCGAUACUGUUGGGCUAGAGUGUGGAAGAGGCUACUGGAAUUCCGUGUGUAGCGGUGAAAUGCGUAGAUAUACGGAGGAACACCUGCGGCGAAGGCGGGUAGCUGGACCAACACUGACGCUGAUGCGCGAAAGCUAGGGGAGCAAACGGG